GGGGCUGAACGGUUUCGACUUCGCGCAUCGAAUCAAGGGAAGCGUGCCGGUGCAGGCAAGAGACCACCGUAAGCGUCGUUGCGACCAAAUAAGCGCCGAUUCACAUCAGCGCGACUACGCUCUCGCUGCCUAAGCGACGGCUAGUCUGUCAGACCGGGAACGCCCUCGGCCCGGACCCUGGCAUCAGCUAGAGGGAUCCACCGAUGAGUCCGGUCGCGGGACUUCUCGGGACAACCACAGCGACUGGGAUCGUCAUCUCGGCUAGUUCGCGUGACCGGGAGAUCCGAGCAGAGGCAUAGCGAACUGCGCACGGAGAAGCCUUGAGGGAAUGCCGUAGGACCCGGGUUCGAUUCCCGGCAGCUCCACC
rnacentral:tmRNA from 1 species